rnacentral:rRNA from 1 species
UACGUAGGGUGCGAGCGUUAAUCGGAAUUACUGGGCGUAAAGCGUGCGCAGGCGGUUCGUUGUGUCGGCGGGGAAAGCCCCGGGCUUAACCUGGGAAUGGCCGUUGAAACUGGCGAACUGGAGUGUGGCAGAGGGGGGUGGAAUUCCGCGUGUAGCAGUGAAAUGCGUAGAGAUGCGGAGGAACACCGGUGGCGAAGGCGGGUCUCUGAGCCGAUACUGACGCUGAGGAGCGAAAGCAUGGGUAGCGAACAGG